rnacentral:lncRNA from 10 species
AACAGGCACACACAGAAGCAUGAAAUAAUGGUGCAAUAGAACAGGGCUGGACUAAGAAGUCAGGGAGCUAACUUCUAAUCUAGCCUUCUUCACUUCAUAUCUGGUUCUAUUCUGAUGAGCCUAGGAAAAGAGAGAAUGCAUGAAACCAUUAGCCCAGCCUCCAUCUGAUCACACUUGCCAUCUUCAUCUUCAGAAAUGACAGCGCAACUGCGUUGCCUUGGUCCAUACAAUUCCACCAGGGCUUGGUCAGAUCAUCAUGAUGUCAACAGGCAUUUUGUGGAUCAUUCCCAAUGGCUUUAUUUUUUGCAACAUAUAUUCUCUCAUUUAAUCUUCACAACAGCCCUAUUAAAUAGCUAUCGUAUUCCAUGCUACAGAUGAGGAAAUUGAGGAACACAUGUUGCUGAGGGUUAUCACAAGCUGGGGUGAGAUUUUACCACCAUACCAUCUGAGUACCUACCCUGCACAGAAUCCUGCUUACCCCAUCUGAGUCUCUGGCACAGGAACCAACAGCACGAAGUUGGCCUCAGCUUCACCUCCCAUCACCUGAGCACCACCCGAGCCCACCAGUUGCCCUCCCUGCUUCAAACGCAUAAGAUCCUCAUGAGCUGCCCUGCUCACUAGGCCUUGAAAUUGCCAUAUUUUGCAUCACUUUCGAUGCUUCCUUAUGGACAAGGGAUACCUCGAGGGCAGGGCUUAUGUGGGGUAUGUUUCUGUUUGCUCAUGGCACCUAGUAUAAAGCCUUUCUUAUAAAAUCCUGAGAAUAAAUGGAUUUAAGCUCAAUGCUUUGGG